UGGGGAAUAUUGGGCAAUGGGCGAAAGCCUGACCCAGCAACGCCGCGUGAAGGAAGAAGGCUUUCGGGUUGUAAACUUCUUUUAUUUAGGAAGAUAAUGACGGUACUAAAUGAAUAAGCCACGGCUAACUACGUGCCAGCAGCCGCGGUAAUACGUAGGUGGCAAGCGUUGUCCGGAAUUACUGGGUGUAAAGGGCGUGUAGGUGGGACUGUAAGUCUGAUGUGAAAUAUCCUGGCUCAACCAGGGGGCUGCAUUGGAAACUAUAGUUCUUGAGUGAUGGAGAGGCAGGCGGAAUUCCGUGUGUAGCGGUGGAAUGCAUAGAUAUACGGAGGAACACCAGUGGCGAAGGCGGCCUGCUGGACAUUAACUGACACUGAGGCGCGAAAGCGUGGGGAGCAAACA
rnacentral:rRNA from 1 species